UCCUACGCCACAGAAUUUAGAUAUAUUUAUGCUCAUAUAAUCAUACAUAACCAAAAUAUAAUUAUACUGUUGAUAGAGUAAACCACGUAAAAGAUAAUUCCCAAAAUUUUGUUCUCCCACGAUUCCACCUCAAAGAAAAGUAUUCCCGCCAUUUCAAUUAGUUUUCUGGUUUUGACUUGGAAGUUUAACAAAUUAAAGAAGAUUUUUGGCUCUCGUGGUCUUAAACUUCUUAAGCUAUUCCACAUGGAAAAUUGAAAUUAAAGAAUUGCCAAAAAGGUAAAGAGGUCUUUUUGAAAGUUGAAGUUAAAGAGCUGCCAAAAAAGAAAAGAGGUCUUUUUGAAAGUUGAAAUUAAAGAACUGCCAAAAAAGAAAAGAGGCAUUUUUUGUGAACGGACUAAAAAGAAAAGCAAGACUAACAAAUUGAAAUGGAGCGAGUAAAAGAAAAGACACACAUUGACAAUUCAAGAGCUCAUAUUUAGUGAAUGAGUUGAUUAACAUUUAACACAAAAGAAUCAAUCUUUUCAUAAAGAUGGAUCUGCAAUAGAUUGGUGAUGCUUUUGAGAAAGAGACAUGGACUGACAAAUCAAGAGCUAAUAUUCAGUAAAAGAGUCCGUCAACACACACACGUGGAAAGUUGAAAUUAAAAGUUGUCAAAAAAGGUAAGAGCCAUUCUUUUUGAAACUAGACUAAAAAGGAAAGUAAGAUAAACAAAUUGAAACGGAAGAAGAAAAAAGAAACACAUGAAUUGACAAAUCAACAACAACAACAACAAACCCAGUGUAUUCCCACUUAGUGGGGUCUGGGGGGGGUAAGAUGUACGCAGUCCAUACCUCUACCUCUGAUGAAGUAGAAAGGCUGUUUCCGAAAGACCCCCGGCUCAAGUCACGAGAUAUCACACAAACACAUAGUACAGCACAGCAGCAGAUGACAUAACAUAGAUACGGCACCCAUAGGGAAUAUAAAACAGAGUAAAGCAGGAAUGCAGGAAUAUAAAGCAGAGGAAAGCACCCAGAUUCGUAAUAAACAUGGAAC
rnacentral:lncRNA from 1 species